CCUUUGACAGCCAGACCUCAACGGCUCUGGGUUGAAGCCCAUUUGCAGGCAUGCUUUGUUGGGGAGAAAAUCCAACUCUCAUGCAGCGAUUUCCGUUUUCUUCCAGGCGCUGUAUAGAACAACUUAUGCAACACUUGAAAUCCUGCUCAGGUCAUUAUUAGCAGAGGACCCGACCACCAAGCAUCUGUUGAGGAUCUUAAAACACAUUCAUUUUUGGAUACACUCGAAAUACAAACUGGAGAGAACCCGGGCUAUCAAAAGCAGUGCUGCGCUCCUACGUUUUGCUGUCCUUAUGCCAGAUUUUGAUGCUACUUGCAAACUCCCAGAACUGGGGCACCAUGUGGCAGAGCUGGCAAUUUGUAUUGGGGACCCCCAACCAGCAGUCAGCCGACAUGCCAAGGAGAG